CAUCUGAGCCAGCAGGAAAGUCCCAGGUUGGGAUGGAAGUAAGUCACAACAAGAAAGACAAGGGCUUGCCUGGUGACUCAGUGGUAGAGAGUCCAUCUGCCAACGCAGGAGACGCCGGUUCUAUCCCUGGUCUGGGAAGAUCCCACGUGCCGAGGAGCCGCUAACCCUGAGCCCCGCAGCUGAACCUGUGUUCCAGAGCCUUCACCACUACUGAAGCCGGGGCACCCUAGAGCCCAUGCUCCGCAGCCAGAGAAGCCACUGCAGCGAGAAGCCUGCGUGCUGCAACUAGAGAGUGGAACCUGCUCACCGCAACUAGAGAAAAGCCGUCACGGCAAGCAAGCCCCGGCACAGCCAAAGUACACCUGGCUUCCCUGAGACCAGCGCCCCCAAUCUCUCAUGAGAGUAGGAGGGACAGCCACCCGACUGCUGAGGACUUAGAGAUGUACCUACUCCUUACCUAGACUGUGAGACUCCCUCCCCGUGUCUGCAGAAUGUGAGCUUCCUGAAACACAUUCUGACAAAUGUGGAUCUGACCAAUAGCAGCAGAACUCUAAAGGUGG